AACGUAGGGGGCGAGCGUUAUCCGGAAUCACUGGGCGUAAAGGGCGCGUAGGCGGCCUGAUAAGUCGGGGGUGAAAUCCUGUGGCUCAACCACAGGGCUGCCUCCGAGACUGUCGGGCUCGAGCACAGUAGAGGCAGGUGGAAUUCCCGGUGUAGCGGUGGAAUGCGUAGAGAUCGGGAAGAACAUCGGUGGCGAAGGCGGCCUGCUGGGCUGUUGCUGACGCUGAGGCGCGACAGCGUGGGGAGCAAACAGG
rnacentral:rRNA from 1 species